UGUUUUGGACAAAAUGAUCACCAGAGUUGUGAACAAUGAUUAAAAAUAGAUAUAAACUUCAUUUUACCAUUAAAAAAAAGUUGAAUUGUAUCAUAUCUGUAUAUUAGAGACCAUGCACUUUGGGAGAACUGUAAUACAACAUAAUCUUAUGCUCUGUGUACAUUUUGGGGGAUGUAACAUCUCUAUAUAAUAGAGAUAAUUCUUUACUGCCUAACUCAGAAUCCUAGAACGCAUAACAGCGUCAAUGGAUCAAGCCCAUAAGAUAUCAAUUUCCAAUGAGAUUUCAUUGUACUAUAUUUCAAGCAUAACAUAGUAGUUCUGAUACAUUGUGAUGAUUUCCAGCUUCUUUUUUAGAUUGUGAGCCCUUUGGGGACAGGGAGCCAUUGUAUUUAUUUAUUUUAUUUAUAUCUCUGUAAACUGCUUUGGGAACUUUUGUUGAAAAGCAGUACAUAAAUAUUUGCCUUCAACAUAUUCUUACCUGGAUCCUCUUCCCAGUUGGGCUACUCUUGGUUGGCCCUUCUCCAGUGAGCAUGACCAUCAACCUCUCACCCCAAUACUCUAUCUUGAUCUCUUUCCCUGCUGCCCUGAAACACCUUCCCUGCUGCUGCUGGCUUUGUGAUGCAUCUUCCAGCCCUACCGUCUCUUCAUCUGGCAUGGACAAAGUGGGGAGAUCAGAUUCUUCUGCUGGUGGGAGUGAUUCUGCCAGAAGCCUACCUGGAGUUGUGGUAGGAAGUGAAGUUGGUGUCUGCAACCCUCAACAUAGUUACACACAGUAGGAGAUGAGAACUCUUUCAGAUAGUCUAGAAAAGCAUUGAGACAGGAAGUGAGAGGUUUGCAUCUCCACACUGAUGGGUUUUAUCCAAAAGAAAAUUUCUUGCACAGAUUUGUAUGUCCCCCAUUUCAAACAAGAAUGGAAAGGGAGAGGAGACCUUCUUUUGAACAUCCAAAGUGAAGGAUUCUUCCAUAUCCAAUGUGGCCCUGCGGAUGAGAGUAGGCUUGGAUCUGAGCUGUCAGAUUCCAGCUCAAUUGUGAGCUCUCUAGGGAUCACUUCAUGAACCAAACUGUCUUACUAACUGCCCCC